rnacentral:ncRNA from 1 species
UUGUAGGCCUAGAUUGGAAAUAGUAGAAAUGCCUGUGUACUUGUAGAGAGCCGGUGGUUGGUGCAAAUCGGCAGACACACAUUUUGAACUCGUCCAUGAGCCACUCCCUGAAAAUAAAGAGUAAGGGAUGUCGGUUUCCCCCGUUAUAGGGAUAGACAGUGAUAGCUGUCGAUAAGGGGACUUUUUCUGUAAAGAUAAAGUCAAUUAGAGUGGUACCGCGAGUAAAAACUCGUCUCUAUA